rnacentral:rRNA from 1 species
UACGAAGGGUGCAAGCGUUAAUCGGAAUUACUGGGCGUAAAGGGUGCGUAGGCGGUUCGUUAAGUCUGUCGUGAAAUCCCCGGGCUCAACCUGGGAAUGGCGAUGGAUACUGGCGAGCUAGAGUGUGUCAGAGGAUGGUGGAAUUCCCGGUGUAGUGGUGAAAUGCGUAGAGAUCGGGAGGAACACCUGUGGCGAAGGCGGCCGACUGGGCCGACCCUGACGCUGAGGCGCGAAGGCGUGGGGAGCGAACGGG